ACUCAAAGGAAUUGACGGGGGCUCGAACAAGCGGUGGAACAUGUGGUUUAAUUCGAUAGUAACCGAUAAACCUUACCAACUCUUGACAUGUAAUUGAAUCAUGGCUUCAAGGCUAUGAGCCUUUUUGGCAAUUACACAGGUGCUGCAUGGCCGUCGUCAGCUCGUGCCGUGAGGUGUUGGGUUAAGUCACUUAACGAGCGCAACCCUUGCCACUAUUUGCCAGCGGUUUGGCCGGGGACUAUAGUGGGACUGCAUGCGUAAAGCAUGAGGAAGGUGAGGAUAACGCCAGGUCAUCAUGUCCUUUAUGAGUUGGGCUACACACAUGUUACAAUGGUUGAUACAAAGUGUUGCAAGCUAGUAAUGGUAAGCUAAUCACAAAAAAUCAAUCUCAGUUCGGAUUGAGGUCUGAAACUCGACCUCAUGAAGUUGGAAUCGCUAGUAAUCGUAGAUCAGAAUGCUACGGUGA
rnacentral:rRNA from 1 species